rnacentral:rRNA from 1 species
GACGAACGCUGGCGGCGUGCUUAACACAUGCAAGUCGAAUGGAAAGGCCCUGCUUUUGUGGGGUGCUCGAGUGGCGAACGGGUGAGUAACACGUGAGUAACCUGCCCUUGACUUUGGGAUAACUUCAGGAAACUGGGGCUAAUACCGGAUAGGAGCUCCUGCUGCAUGGUGGGGGUUGGAAAGUUUCGGCGGUUGGGGAUGGACUCGCGGCUUAUCAGCUUGUUGGUGGGGUAGUGGCUUACCAAGGCUUUGACGGGUAGCCGGCCUGAGAGGGUGACCGGCCACAUUGGGACUGAGGUACGGCCCAGACUCCUACGGGAGGCAGCAGUGGGGAAUAUUGCACAAUGGGCGGAAGCCUGAUGCAGCAACGCCGCGUGCGGGAUGACGGCCUUCGGGGUGUAAACCGCUUUCGCCUGUGACGAAGCGUGAGUGACGGUAAUGGGUAAAGAAGCACCGGCUAACUACGUG